CCUGAACUCCUGUACUAAGUGGCUUUGGAAGAAACACUGCAGUUCCACUAGGAGGAGCACUGAACACGGGCAGACUUGCAUAAUUUCCAGAAACUAUGGCCAGGAACGCAGCUGAGAGACGAUGGCAGUUUUGAGCAUCUGGACCAGUGUAUUGAGAGAAGAUUCUUGCAAAGAUCCCCAGCACUUCUCUGGGGGGUAUAAAAUCAGCCAUGAUAAAUAUGCACCCUCCAAAAAAAUCCUCAGUUUCUUCCAGGUUCUUUAAUGUAUGAAAUAGAUAACAGUUUCCAUUUCUGAUGGCAAAACCCAUAAAAUAUCUUGUCUCAGGGUACCAUCCUGGACAUUUAUUACUCACAGAUGUGAAAAAAAUGUUUUUCCCUCAUCAAAUAUCAUUGGAAUUGAAAGUUCAAAUGUA